UAGCUAGUUGGUGAGGUAACGGCUUACCAAGGCGACGAUCUGUAGCGGGUCUGAGAGGAUGAUCCGCCACACUGGAACUGAGACACGGUCCAGACUCCUACGGGAGGCAGCAGUGGGGAAUUUUGGACAAUGGGGGCAACCCUGAUCCAGCCAUGCCGCGUGAGUGAAGAAGGCCUUCGGGUUGUAAAGCUCUUUCGGCCGGGAAGAAAUCGCAUGGGCCAAUACCCUGUGUGGAUGACGGUACCGGAAUAAGAAGCACCGGCUAACUACGUGCCAGCAGCCGCGGUAAUACGUAGUGUGCGAGCGUUAAUCGGAAUUACUGGGCGUAAAGCGUGCGCAGGCGGUUUUGUAAGACAGGCGUGAAAUCCCCGGGCUCAACCUGGGAACUGCGUUUGUGACUGCAAGGCUAGAGUACGGCAGAGGGGGGUGGAAUUCCACGUGUAGCAGUGAAAUGCGUAGAGAUGUGGAGGAACACCAAUGGCGAAGGCAGCCCCCUGGGUCGAUACUGACGCUCAUGCACGAAAGCGUGGGUAGCAAACAGGGUUAGAUACCCUGGUAGUCCACGCCCUAAACUAUGUCAACUAGGUGUUGGGUGGGUAAAACCAUUUAGUACCGUAGCUAACGCGUGAAGUUGACCGCCUGGGGAGUACGGCCGCAAGGUUAAAACUCAAAGGAAUUGACGGGGACCCGCACAAGCGGUGGAUGAUGUGGAUAAAUUCGAUGCAACGCGAAAAACCUUACCUACCCUUGACAUGCCAGGAACUUGCCAGAGAUGGCUUGGUGCCCGAAAGGGAGCCUGGACACAGGUGCUGCAUGGCUGUCGUCAGCUCGUGUCGUGGGAUGUUGGGUUAAGUCCCGCAACGAGCGCAACCCUUGUCGUUAAUUGCCAUCAUUUAGUUGGGCACUUUAGCGAGACUGCCGGUGACAAACCGGAGGAAGGUGGGGAUGACGUCAAGUCCUCAUGGCCCUUAUGGGUAGGGCUUCACACGUCAUACAAUGGUCGGUACGAAGGGUCGCCAAGCCGCGAGGUGGAGCCAAUCCCAGAAAGCCGAUCGUAGUCCGGAUUGCAGGCUGCAACUCGCCUGCAUGAAGUCGGAAUCGCUAGUAAUCGUGGAUCAGCAUGUCACGGUGAAUACGUUCCCGGGUCUUGUACACACCGCCCGUCACACCAUGGGAGCGGGUUCCGCCAGAAGUAGGUAGCCUAACCGCAAGGAGGGCGCUUACCACGGCGGGGUUCGUGACUGGGGUGAAGUCGGAACAAGGUAGCCGUAGGGGAACCUGCGGCUG
rnacentral:rRNA from 1 species